rnacentral:rRNA from 1 species
UCUUACAGCUAUGCCAUCCUGAGCAAGCCAGAUGUCAGGGUCGGGCCUGGUUAGUACUUGGAUGGGAGACCACCUAGGAAGACCAGCUGCUGUAGGCA